rnacentral:rRNA from 1 species
AUUGAACGCUGGCGGCAGGCUUAACACAUGCAAGUCGAGCGGUAGCACAAGAGAGCUUGCUCUCUGGGUGACGAGCGGCGGACGGGUGAGUAAUGUCUGGAAAACUGCCUGAUGGAGGGGGAUAACUACUGGAAACGGUAGCUAAUACCGCAUAACGCCGCAAGACCAAAGAGGGGGACCUUCGGGCCUCUUGCCAUCAGAUGUGCCCAGAUGGGAUUAGCUAGUAGGUGGGGUAAUGGCUCACCUAGGCGACGAUCCCUAGCUGGUCUGAGAGGAUGACCAGCCACACUGGAACUGAGACACGGUCCAGACUCCUACGGGAGGCAGCAGUGGGGAAUAUUGCACAAUGGGCGCAAGCCUGAUGCAGCCAUGCCGCGUGUGUGAAGAAGGCCUUCGGGUUGUAAAGCACUUUCAGCGAGGAGGAAGGUGGUGAACUUAAUACGUUCAUCAAUUGACGUUACUCGCAGAAGAAGCACCGGCUAACUCCGUG